rnacentral:rRNA from 1 species
UAGGGAAUCUUCGGCAAUGGACGGAAGUCUGACCGAGCAACGCCGCGUGAGUGAAGAAGGUUUUCGGAUCGUAAAGCUCUGUUGUAAGAGAAGAACGAGUGUGAGAGUGGAAAGUUCACACUGUGACGGUAUCUUACCAGAAAGGGACGGCUAACUACGUGCCAGCAGCCGCGGUAAUACGUAGGUCCCGAGCGUUGUCCGGAUUUAUUGGGCGUAAAGCGAGCGCAGGCGGGUAGGUAAGUCUGAAGU